UAUAUUUUAUUUGCAUGUUUCAUUCCUAAUAAUGGUGUGGGGCAGAGAGGAAAUGCUAGUGUGCAAUGCAAAUUACUGACCAAAGUACUGCUGCUUUUAUACCAUUAAAUUGCCGUAAAGUGCUUAAUUAUUCUAAAACGGUGAUGUACACAAAACUACUAACAACUUGACUGUCUAUGUUAUGUAUGUUGUUUAUAUUUAAUAUAUUGUGAUAAGGAAGAACAAGAUUAAAGUGACCAAAAAAGUCUUCCAGAAAUAUUGUCUGCGUGAUUUUAUUCUAGAUCAGUGACUACCAUUUCACUUUCAAAUGAAAAAUUAUUUUAAACAGAUUUUAAAAUCUACAAUUCAGCAAAGUAUUUUGCUUGGCAAUGUCACCGUAAGAGUAAGGAGCUUAACUGUAGGUAAUGGCAUGACACGAU